rnacentral:rRNA from 1 species
UACAGAGGUCUCAAGCGUUGUUCGGAUUCAUUGGGCGUAAAGGGUGCGUAGGUGGCGCCGUAAGUCAGGUGUGAAAUUUCGGAGCUUAACUCCGAAACUGCAUUUGAUACUGCGGUGCUUGAGGACUGGAGAGGAGACUGGAAUUCACGGUGUAGCAGUGAAAUGCGUAGAUAUCGUAAGGAAGACCAGUGGCGAAGGCGGGUCUCUGGACAGUUCCUGACGCUGAGGCACGAAGGCCAGGGGAGCAAACGGG